rnacentral:lncRNA from 1 species
CAGGCAAAUGGUAAGGUAACCCAGGUGCUUUGUAUAAGCAGUUAUUUUAAGGCUUUGAACCAAAACAAAAGCAGAACUGAAGGUAACCCAGUGCUAAUCUAUCGGGAUCAAAAAACAGUUCAUAUAAUAUAAUACUCUUCUGUUGAAAUAUAUGAUAAAGCGUAUAAUACAUGGCAAAAUCCGUAUCACAUGCCGUAUCACCC